CGUGCCCUCUCAAUGCAAGAUAGUCUCCAGCAGUGUGGAUCUUAGGUCCGCUAAGGUCUGUGAACUUGGACUGUUCAAUUAUAAAGCCAAGCAUGUGUUUUACCCCCUUGAGAGAAGUAAGUUUCGGUGCCGUUAUGACUACUAUUGGGCUUCAAUAUUCAAGGUAGAAUACAAAGAUCAUUCUUCUGGUCAGAUACAACUUGCUUUUGCAGAAGCUCCAAGUGAAG